rnacentral:rRNA from 1 species
GUAGAUUCGCCUUGCGGAUCCGGGGUCUGCUGAAGAGUUUGAUCCUGGCUCAGGAUGAACGCUGGCGGAGUGCCUAACCCAUGCAAGUCGAACGGUCCGCACAGGAUAGUGGCGACCGGGUGAGUAACACGCAGACACCUGCCUCGCGCGAGGGAAUAAUUUCCCCAACGAGCAGCUAAUACCCAAAAGGGUAUGUAACGCCUCAGAGCUUAGUACGGGUCUGGGCGAGAGGCAGUGUGCGCGACAUGAGGCUACGUUCGUAGGGUAAUGGGCCACAAAGGCUAUGCGGGGUAGCGGCUCUCAGAGGCUGUUACGGCAGAAUGGGAAGUGAGCAUAUGGUAUAGAGAGUUCCGGGUGGCCACCAGGAGAGGAAUAUUGGCACAGUUGGGGGAAACUGUCAUUCUGAGUGAAACUGUGCGUUCAGGUGUGUGCAAUGUACUU